rnacentral:rRNA from 1 species
CCUACGGGAGGCAGCAGUGGGGAAUUUUGGACAAUGGGCGCAAGCCUGAUCCAGCCAUGCCGCGUGCGGGAAGAAGGCCUUCGGGUUGUAAACCGCUUUUGUCAGGGAAGAAAAGGUUCUGGCUAAUACCUGGGACUCAUGACGGUACCUGAAGAAUAAGCACCGGCUAACUACGUGCCAGCAGCCGCGGUAAUACGUAGGGUGCAAGCGUUAAUCGGAAUUACUGGGCGUAAAGCGUGCGCAGGCGGUUAUGCAAGACAGAGGUGAAAUCCCCGGGCUCAACCUGGGAACUGCCUUUGUGACUGCAUAGCUAGAGUGCGGUAGAGGGGGAUGGAAUUCCGCGUGUAGCAGUGAAAUGCGUAGAUAUGCGGAGGAACACCGAUGGCGAAGGCAAUCCCCUGGACCUGUACUGACGCUCAUGCACGAAAGCGUGGGGAGCAAACAGGAUUAGAUACCCUGGUAGUCCACGCCCUAAACGAUGUCAACUGGUUGUUGGGAGGGUUUCUUCUCAGUAACGUAGCUAACGCGUGAAGUUGACCGCCUGGGGGAGGUACGGCCGCGAGUAGAACGUACAANAGAGUUAGACGGCGUGAGACGUGACCGAACGGACGACGACGAGGGAGGAGG